rnacentral:rRNA from 1 species
GUGCCAGCCGCUGCGGUAAUACGUAGGUGGCAAGCGUUGUCCGGAUUUAUUGGGCGUAAAGCGCGCGCAGGCGGUCCUUUAAGUCUGAUGUGAAAGCCCACGGCUCAACCGUGGAGGGUCAUUGGAAACUGGAGGACUUGAGUGCAGAAGAGGAAAGUGGAAUUCCAAGUGUAGCGGUGAAAUGCGUAGAGAUUUGGAGGAACACCAGUGGCGAAGGCGACUUUCUGGUCUGUAACUGACGCUGAGGCGCGAAAGCGUGGGAGCAAACAGGAUUAGAUACCCUGGUAGUCCACGCCGUAACGAUGAGUGCUAAGUGUUAGGGGUUCCGCCCUUAGUGCUGCAGCUAACGCAUUAAGCACUCCG